GUGCUAACUUUGGCAGCACAUAUACUCAAAUUGGAAAGAUAUAGAGAAGAUUAGCAUGGCCCCUGUGCAAGGAUGACAUACAAAUUUUUAAGCAUUCCAUAUUGUCU